rnacentral:lncRNA from 1 species
UUCACAGAGAAAGGAUUAUGUGAGGACACCAAGAGGUGACCAUCAGCAAGCCCAGGAGAGAGGCCUCAGAAGAAACCAGACCUGCCGAUUCCUUGAUCUUGAACUUCUAGCCUCCGGAACUAUCCAACUUGAAUGCUUCCUGAUUAAAUAUAUACAGGAGUGAUUUCAGAGGAAUUUAAGUUUUGGAUCAUCCUUUUGAGAAAGAAAAAAAAGUACCCUUUUAAAAGAGACUUUCUUCUGCCACUGCCACUCCUGAGACAACAUGACCAAUCUCUCCCUUUCCUCCUCCUCAGCGUACUUUCAACAUAAAGACGACGAGGAUAAAGGCAUUUAUGAUGAACUACUUCCACAUAAUGAAUAAUUGAACAAAGGAGAGAAUUGUGAGAGUGAGAAAAAGUAAGUGAGACAAAGAAGAAAAACUAUAAAUCAGCAAAAUCCAGUGCCAAGAGCUCUGGACCACAAAUCAGAAGACCUGAGCCCUAAUUCCUUUCCAGUCAUUGGAUUUGUUCAUCGCUUGCCAAAACAGCAGCGAACUCUGUCAAACUGCAGCUCAUUUUAUCGGAGCAAAAACUGAACAAAGAACUGCUAUCAUGUCUGAGGUCAGAGGCAGUGCAGCUUGUGUUACAACUCAAAGAGUAAUACUUUGAAAAAAGAAAAAAAAGAUGGCGCUGAAAAUAAACAUGUUCAGCAGCCAUUGUGAUUCAACUUACCCAGAUGUGCUUUUCAUGAGAUGGAGAAGGACGGAUGGAAAAGAAAAGCACACAAAUGUUAAUGGAUACAGUUCAAUCCAAAGAAAACCAUGGAAUAAAACAAGAGCAUUAUUUAAGAUGUGAGAAAGCUCAGGUAUGAGAAAGACAUGGUGCCAUUUUGUAUUUCAUCAUGACACACAUACUCACUGCGUCGAAAAGCAUAGUCAGGCUGAGG